UACGUAGGUGGCAAGCGUUGUCCGGAUUUACUGGGCGUAAAGAGCGCGCAGGCGGUCGUCCAAGUCGCGUGUGAAAGCCCCCGGCUCAACUGGGGAGGGUCACGCGAUACUGGUCGACUCGAAGGCAGGAGAGGGUAGUGGAAUUCCCGGUGUAGUGGUGAAAUGCGUAGAUAUCGGGAGGAACACCAGUGGCGAAGGCGACUACCCGGCCUGUUCUUGACGCUGAGGCGCGAAAGCUAGGGGAGCAAACGGG
rnacentral:rRNA from 1 species